GAUGAACGCUGGCGGCGUGCCUAAUACAUGCAAGUCGAGCGGACAGACGAGGAGCUUGCUCCUCUGACGUUAGCGGCGGACGGGUGAGUAACACGUGGAUAACCUACCUAUAAGACUGGGAUAACUUCGGGAAACCGGAGCUAAUACCGGAUAAUAUAUUGAACCGCAUGGUUCAAUAGUGAAAGACGGUUUUGCUGUCACUUAUAGAUGGAUCCGCGCCGCAUUAGCUAGUUGGUAAGGUAACGGCUUACCAAGGCAACGAUGCGUAGCCGACCUGAGAGGGUGAUCGGCCACACUGGAACUGAGACACGGUCCAGACUCCUACGGGAGGCAGCAGUAGGGAAUCUUCCGCAAUGGGCGAAAGCCUGACGGAGCAACGCCGCGUGAGUGAUGAAGGUCUUCGGAUCGUAAAACUCUAUUAUUAGGGAAGAACAAAUGUGUAAGUAACUAUGCACGUCUUGACGAUACCUAAUCAGAAAGCCACGGCUAACUACGUG
rnacentral:rRNA from 1 species